CUUUCCUAAAGAGGGCAGUAGCCCUCAAUGACAGCAUUCCAGUCAUGAGAGCUGUCCCACAAAGACUCAGUGAUCGCAAUAUGUUUGAAGAAAGCUAGAUUUAAGAGGAUUCCCACCUGUCAGCAGAAGUGCCAGCUCCAUUAACCAGUUUCCAGCUGGCUUGAAGCAAUCAAGUGGGGCAAAGCAGCUGCAAUGUGGACUUACAGCCUAUACUGAAGGGACAGACAAUUCUGGAAGAAAGGAACAUGCAGUUCCUCUGUCUUCAACUCAGGAUGCUGAAACAGUAAUAGAGACCAUGGAAAUUUCAUAAAGUUAGCUCAUUCCUUGUUUUACUUUCAGGCAUGUUGAUCAGUGUGUUUGUACCACAGACUUUCAAUUUAAGGUCAGAUUGCUCUUCUGAGAAUCCUACAUUUCCAUGCAGUCCCCUUGUUUUAGGAACAUAUGCAGGAUGUUUGAAAACUAUUAUUUAUCCAGAAAAGCAGAUUACAGCUAUUACUGAGCACAUACUGCUAUGCAAGGGAAGUGGAGGAGUACUAAAUACCACAGCAGACAGUGUGGGUCUUCAGUGCACAAAGGGACUGAAAUGAAGAGAUGUUAAAUGCAUGUACAGUAAGAGAAAAAAGCUAAAAAGUCUUUUUAAAAGUAUGCUAAGGAAAAUUUUCAAGAGCAAUUCUGGUGUCAAAAGAGUACUGCAGUAGAUUAAUUUUAAACAAUGGCAUUUGGAUUACUAAUGCGUAUAGGGACAAAUGCUCCUUUUUAAUAUAAGUGUUUUUAAAACACUCUAAGAAAUGCAUUUUAAUGGAUUUAAUGAGAAUAUUUUCGAAACUUAAGAAAAACACCCUUAAAGGAUCUUGAGGAUCUAAAAUGUAGGCAGGGUGUUCCAAAAUGCAUUAACAUUUAUGUGGAAUGAAAGUUCAAACAAGACCCUUCCAUCUUAUGUAUGAUUCAAACCAAUAAAGAAAUAAAACCCUGCUGUGUCAA